GACGAACGCUGGCGGCGUGCUUAACACAUGCAAGUCGAACGGUAAGGCCCUUCGGGGUACACGAGUGGCGAACGGGUGAGUAACACGUGGGUGAUCUGCCCUGCACUUCGGGAUAAGCCUGGGAAACUGGGUCUAAUACCGGAUAGGACUCCGGACUGCAUGGUCUGGGGUGGAAAGCUUUUGCGGUGUGGGAUGGGCCCGCGGCCUAUCAGCUUGGUGGUGGGGUGAUGGCCUACCAAGGCGACGACGGGUAGCCGGGCUGAGAGGGUGACCGGCCACACUGGGACUGAGAUACGAGCCAGACUCCUACGGGAGGGAGCAGUGGGGAAUAUUGCACAAUGGGCGCAAGCCUGAUGCAGCGACGCCGCGUGAGGGAUGACGGCCUUCGGGUUGUAAACCUCUUUCAGCAUCGACGAAGCGAAAGUGACGGUAGGUGCAGAAGAAGGACCGGCCAACUACGUGCCAGCCGCCGCCGUAA
rnacentral:rRNA from 1 species